rnacentral:rRNA from 1 species
CACGCAUGACACACUGCAUAUCAAUAAGCGGAGGAAAAGAAACUAACAAGGAUUCCCUUAGUAACGGCGAGUGAAGCGGGAAGAGCUCAAAUUUGAAAUCUUCAAGGUUUUACCUUGACGAAUUGUAGUUUAAAGAAGUGUUUUCUGUUGAAGUUUUGGUAAAAGUUCUUUGGAAUAGGACAUCAUAGAGGGUGAGAAUCCCGUAUUUGACCAUUAUUUUCAGCUGUGUGAUACACUUUCAAAGAGUCGGAUUGUUUGGGAAUGCAGUCCAAAAUGGGUGGUAAAUUUCAUCUAAAGCUAAAUAUUGGCGAGAGACCGAUAGCGAACAAGUACCGUGAGGGAAAGAUGAAAAGAACUUUGAAAAGAGAGUUAAACAGUACGUGAAAUUGUCAAAAGGGAAGCGUUUGACACCAGUGUUGUUUUCUCGAAAAUCAAUUAAAAAAGGCCGGAUUUUGUGUUGUAUUGACCUUAAAAGCUUUCUUCACUCUUUUCUUGUCUUUUUUAAUGCACUUUUCGUUUAACAAGUCAACAUCAGUUUCUUUUGUUGUAAAAGGGUCAUUGGAAGGUGGCUUUCUUUUCGGAGAAAGUGUUUAUAGCCUUUGAUCUCUGCAACCGGAGAGACUGAGGUCUGCAGCGUAGACUCUUCGGGGUUAAAUACAUUUGUGCUAAGCUAUAGCUUUUUAUAGACAACUUGUUGACUAUAUUUAGUCUUGUGGCUUACUCGCUUAUGCUAUUUUACCUACGCUUAGGAUGUUGAAGACUCUACAGAGAUA